UAACACGUAGGAGGCGAGCGUUGUCCGGAAUCAUUGGGCGUAAAGAGCGCGCAGGCGGCUUGGCAAGUCGGGUGUGAAAUCCCGGGGCUCAACCCCGUGACUGCAUCCGAUACUGUCAGGCUAGAGGUAGGUAGGGGAGAUCGGAAUUCCUGGUGUAGCGGUGAAAUGCGCAGAUAUCAGGAGGAACACCGGUGGCGAAGGCGGAUCUCUGGGCCUUACCUGACGCUCAGGCGCGAAAGCUAGGGGAGCGAACAGG
rnacentral:rRNA from 1 species